UAAUUUUUAGUGUACACCGGCACGUCAAGCUUUGAUUUUGAAAGAGGUAGUUACCAAAAUUUU
rnacentral:tRNA from 1 species